UACGUAGGGUGCAAGCGUUUGUCCGGAAUUAUUGGGCGUAAAGAGCUCGUAGGCGGUCUGUUGCGUCCGCUGUGAAAACUCGGGGCUUAACCCCGAGCCUGCAGUGGAUACGGGCAGACUAGAGGUAGGUAGGGGAGAAUGGAAUUCCCGGUGUAGCGGUGAAAUGCGCAGAUAUCGAGAGGAACACCUGCGGCGAAGGCGGCGUCCUGGACCAACACUGACACUGAUGAGCGAAAGCCAGGGGGAGCAAACGGG
rnacentral:rRNA from 1 species